UACGUAGGGUGCAAGCGUUGUCCGGAAUUAUUGGGCGUAAAGGGCUCGUAGGCGGUUUGUCACGUCGGGGAGUGAAAACUCGGGGCUUAACCCCGAGCCUGCUUCCGAUACGGGCAGACUAGAGGUAUGCAGGGGAGAACGGAAUUCCGGGUGUAGCGGUGGAAUGCGUAGAGAUCCGGAAGAACACCGGUGGCGAAGGCGGCCUGCUGGGCAGUAGCUGACGCUGAGGCGCGACAGCGUGGGGAGCAA
rnacentral:rRNA from 1 species